AUUGAACGCUGGCGGCAGGCCUAACACAUGCAAGUCGAACGAGUGGCGGACGGGUGAGUAAUGUCUGGGAAACUGCCUGAUGGAGGGGGAUCACUACUGGAAACGGUAGCUAAUACCGCAUACCAUCGGAUGUGCCCAGAUGGGAUUAGCUAGUAGGUGGGGUAACGGCUCACCCAGGCGACGAACCCUAGCUGGUCUGAGAGGAUGACCAGCAACACUGGAACUUAGACACGGUCCAGACUUCUACGGGAGGCAGCAGUGGGGAAUAUUGCACAAUGGGCGCAAGCCUGAUGCAGCCAUGCCGCGUGUAUGAAGAAGGCCUUCGGGUUGUAAAGUACGUUCAGCGGGGAGGCGUUACCCGCAGAAUAAGCACCGGCUAACUCCGUGCCAGCAGCCGCGGUAAUUC
rnacentral:rRNA from 1 species